rnacentral:rRNA from 1 species
UACGGGGGGGAGCAAGCGUUGUUCGGAUUUACUGGGCGUAAAGGGCGCGUAGGCGGCGCAACAAGUCACUUGUGAAAUCUCCGGGCUUAACCCGGAGCGGUCAAGUGAUACUGUCGUGCUAGAGUGCGGAAGGGGCUACUGGAAUUCUCGGUGUAGCGGUGAAAUGCGUAGAUAUCGAGAGGAACACCGGUGGCGAAGGCGGGUCUCUGGGGCCGAAA